UGGGGAAUAUUGGACAAUGGGCGAAAGCCUGAUCCAGCGACGCCGCGUGGGUGAUGAAGGCCUUCGGGUUGUAAAGCCCUGUGGGAAGGGAAGAAAACGUUGCAGGCGAAUAGGCUGCGACCUUGACGGUACCUUCUCAGAAAGCACCGGCUAACUCUGUGCCAGCAGCCGCGGUAAGACAGAGGGUGCAAACGUUGCUCGGAAUUACUGGGCGUAAAGCGCGUGUAGGCGGACCGGAAAGUCGGGCGUGAAAUCCCCAGGCUCAACCUGGGAACUGCACUCGAAACUUCCGGCCUUGAGUGGUGGAGAGGGAAGUGGAAUUCCUGGUGUAGAGGUGAAAUUCGUAGAUAUCAGGAGGAACACCAGUGGCGAAGGCGGCUUCCUGGACACCAACUGACGCUGAGACGCGAAAGCGUGGGGAGCAAACAG
rnacentral:rRNA from 1 species